rnacentral:rRNA from 1 species
AUUGAACGCUGGCGGCAGGCCUAACACAUGCAAGUCGAACGAGUGGCGGACGGGUGAGUAAUGUCUGGGAAACUGCCCGAUGGAGGGGGAUAACUACUGGAAACGGUAGCUAAUACCGCAUACCAUCGGAUGUGCCCAGAUGGGAUUAGCUAGUAGGUGGGGUAACGGGUGACCUAGGCGACGAUCCCUAGCUGGUCUGCGAGGAUGAACAGCCACACUGGAACUGAGAAACGGUCCAGACUCCUACGGGAGGGAGCAGUGGGGAAUAUUGCGCAAAGGGCGCAAGCCUGAUGCAGCCAUGCCGCGUGGAUGAAGAAGGCCUUCGGGUUGUAAAGUACUUUCAGCGAGGAGGCGUUACUCGCAGAAGAAGCACCGGCUAACUCCGUGCCAGCCGCCGCGGUAAUAC